UGAAAUUGAACUCCCCAGUGAGCCUCGGC
rnacentral:piRNA from 1 species